UACGUAGGGGGCGAGCGUUGUCCGGAAUUAUUGGGCGUAAAGAGCGUGUAGGCGGUUCGGUAAGUCUGCUGUGAAAUCCUGAGGCUCAACCUCGGGCGUGCGAUGGAUACUGCCGGGCUAGAGGGUGGUAGAGGCGAGUGGAAUUCCCGGUGUAGCGGUGAAAUGCGCAGAUAUCGGGAGGAACACCAGUAGCGAAGGCGGCUCGCUGGGCCACACCUGACGCUGAGACGCGAAAGCUAGGGGAGCGAACAGG
rnacentral:rRNA from 1 species